rnacentral:misc_RNA from 1 species
AAGUCGUAACAAGGUAACCGUAGGUGAACCUGCGGUUGGAUCAUUAACAAAUUUUCAACAAGCCAAAAAAGGAUUUUUAAUCUUUUUUUGGUCUUGAACAAUUUUGUGAACUGUUUUAACGUUUUUUUGGGUAGGUUUGCGUGGUUCUUUUCAUUAAGACCGCAAACGAAGGUUGAGCAGUAAAUUUUUUUUUAUUGUUCUUGCCUACCCAAGUGUAAUUUUAGACCUUAGUAGAAAAACUUGUCUUUAAAUAAAAAAAUUGAUUUUUUUUGAUAAAAAAAGAAAAAACAACUUUUGACA